rnacentral:rRNA from 1 species
UACGUAGGGUGCAAGCGUUAAUCGGAAUUACUGGGCGUAAAGCGUGCGCAGGCGGUGAUGUAAGACAGGUGUGAAAUCCCCGGGCUUAACCUGGGAACUGCAUUUGUGACUGCAUCGCUGGAGUGCGGCAGAGGGGGAUGGAAUUCCGCGUGUAGCAGUGAAAUGCGUAGAUAUGCGGAGGAACACCGAUGGCGAAGGCAAUCCCCUGGGCCUGCACUGACGCUCAUGCACGAAAGCGUGGGGAGCGAUCCGG